AUGCUACUAAACGUGAUUAUAUAUAAUUACAUGUAUAUGACCAUAUGUGACUAUAUAUGACUACAUGUAUAUGACUAUAUGUGACUAUAUAUGACUACAUGUAUAUGACUAUAUGUGACUAUAUAUGACUACAUGUAUAUGACUAUAUGUGACUAUAUAUGACUACAUGUAUAUGACUAUAUGUGACUAUAUAUAACUACAUGUGACUAACUAUAUGAGUAUAGUCAUGUAUAGUAUAAUUUGAAUUUAUAGCUUCAAAUCUCACUUUUCAACCCGACAACUCCGAUCUAUCGAAACUAGAACACUAAAAGCAGGCUCGGUUCGAUCCCAAACCAAAAUAAAACGUAAAAUAAAAAAAAAGGAGAAAAUCCACCCCUAUGAAACCCUUCCCCGUCGCCACACCUGGCCACCGCGAGCUCCUCAUCGACCGCUCAAAACUGUUGCACAUAAAAUACUAAUACUAUCAAAUUCAGCAAUUUAUUAUAUGCAGAAAAGAUUAGUUUUUUCUACAAGUUGGUGUUGUGUAUGCAUGUACUGUAUAAAAAAUAAUAUAUAUUGAAACAAUAGCAUACAUCAAGAUCAAAGAUUCAAAUCCCCAUUAUACUAAAGUAAAUAUUCAAUAAUUAUUAUUUGUAUAUUUCAUAUUAAAAAUAAAUAAAGAAAGUGUGUCUUCAUCAUCAUUCAUCAACAACCCAUUACCACCACCCACUUUCUUUAUUUAUGGAAUUUUUUUUAAUUGAUUCUUCCUCCCUAAAUAGAAUUGAAAUCAUAGCAUAAUUUACAGUCUUUAAAAAAAAUAAAAAAAAAAUGGAGCGUGCCCGAAAAUUAGUGAACAGAGCAAUACUCAGACGCCUGGUUUCUGAAUCCAAGCAGCAGCAGCCAUUGUACAGAUCCUCGAGGUACGUUUCCUCCUUCUCUCCGGCUUUAGUGCCACGUGGCAGCAAUGUUGUCGGAAAAGCUCACAGCUUCACGUUCGCCCGAUCCAUCUCCGUCGACGCCCUCAAACCGAGCGACACCUUCGCCCGCCGGUAGAACGGCGAGAGAGAGUAAGAAAGAGGGACUGAGGGAGAGAUGAAGAGGGAUGGAAAGAACGGCGGUAUGAGUUGGAAGAGAGAAGAUUAGAAGGGUUAGGGCAUAUAUUGAAUUAAAACUAAAAAGGGUAAAAUAGGUACUUCAAAUUGUCUAGGGGGUCUCACUAAUUAAGAUCAGAAUUUGGGUUUUUGACUAGAGCAGAAAAAUUUGUUGGGCC
rnacentral:lncRNA from 1 species